rnacentral:other from 1 species
UGCCUGCAAUGUGCGUAAGUCUUUCAUUAUUGUCUAACCUUACUCUUUUUUAAAACGGGAAUCUGGCAGUGAUUUUAGGGAUGUUGAAUCGUCUUUGAACGAAUAGCAAAACUAAAAUCCAGGAUACCCACCUGCCAUCGCAGGUCUAGGCAUAUUAAAGAUAACGGCAUUAUGGGCA